UACGGGGGGGGCAAGCGUUGUUCGGAAUUACUGGGCGUAAAGGGCUCGUAGGUGGCCAACUAAGUCAGACGUGAAAUCCCUCGGCUUAACCGGGGAACUGCGUCCGAUACUGGCAGGCUUGAAUCCGGGAGAGGGAUGUGGAAUUCCAGGUGUAGCGGUGAAAUGCGUAGAUAUCUGGAGGAACACCGGUGGCGAAGGCGGCAUCCUGGACCGGUAUUGACGCUGAUGCGCGAAAGCCAGGGGAGCAAACGGG
rnacentral:rRNA from 1 species